rnacentral:rRNA from 1 species
AUGCUUAAGGUAUGCUUGACACACAUGAUUUCAUGGCCUGAUAGACUUGGGCUUCCACUAUGGCACACAAGUGGAGAUGACUGCCUUUUGACCAUGAUCUUGAGAGUUAUGAACCUUUAUGACACUAAUGGUUCUCAAGUUCGGCAAGAGUUUGUACAAAAGAUAGGGAAAGUGUUUGACGCUAUACUGGAAAAGACGGGCAAAUUAAGGAAAGAAACCAAGGGAGAUAUUUAUAUAGCUAAGGCCAUUGCAAUCGUUUUGGAGAGAAAUCCACACUUAGGCAAAAGGUCUAGAUAUACGCCUUGGUCACAGUUAUUUCAGGGAAAGCAGCAGUUCUGUUGCAAUAGUUGUUCUAAGGCUGUACAUGAUGAUAUGUACUGGAGAUUGCAGGCCGUGACGGUGAUUUGGGAGAUUUUGCAUGAACACAAUUGCCGCAUUUUUCACAAUUUGGAGUUGUCGGCUACUAUGCUUGCAUGCCUUGCUGUUGACAAGCCAAUGUUGGAAGGAGGCCGACGAACCACACAUCAUUUUGUGAUAAUAAUCUAG